ensembl:lncRNA
CACUGUGGGAAGCGAAGUGCUCUAAGUCUUCCUAGGUGAGAAGGGGGAUUUAAGGACAAGGGGCGGCUCCUGGCAGCUACGCAGUGACUGUGAGGACAGCCAGCCCACGGUCAGAGCCAACACGCGGAGAAGACAGAGGCAAGAGAAACGCAGAGGAUCGAGGCGCCCUUGCGCGGUGGCUGGGCCCAGAGCCUCUGGGAACCUCAGUCAGAAGACGAAAUAGACCCCUGCGUCUGCUCAGCGCGCUCAUGACCUGGGAGCUACUUGCCAUUCUACAGAAACGCCCAAACCAGCUGCCGCCUCGGCCUGUAGGGGGCGUGGGUGAAGAAGGCUCUUGUGUGCAGCUGCCCGGCUCCUCCGUGCUGCCUCGUGGAAGGAAUCCAUGGAAGAAACAGGCGGUGUUUAGAAAGAAUCUGGGGGAAGUGCAAGAAAUACCCUGUUCCCUGUUCAACUUCCCAGAACCUCUUCUGAAGUCUCAGAUGCUGUGAGAUUGCUGGGUGGCUGUGACCCCAGAAGCCCCACUUCUGUGGCUGGAAACGCCGCUUUGACACCUGGGAGGAACCGAGAGCAGCCUCCUAGUCCUUGACUUCAGAGGGGCCCCGCUGCUCUGGGAGGGCAGCCUCCCUGCCCCACCCCGCAGCAGGUGUGCGACAGAACCAGGGUUCCCUGCCAACGCCAGCGAGGCCAAGGGAGCCCGGCGGGCAGGCAGCAGGGUGGACGUCGGCCCCUCUCUGGGGCAGAGGGCAUGAGAGGCCAGAGUCCUGGAAGGAGGCCUGGGGGCUUCGCCUCCUGUCAAAGGCAGAGGAAAAAGCUUCAGCUUCUCACAGCAGUCAGCUGGGACCCCAGUGUUGGGCAAAUUGUACCGUGUGCCGCCUCGAAUUUCCCCAUGCCAUGUGUGUGACUGUGGACCCCGGUUUAUCAGGCUGGAAGCAGCCCCUGCAGAGGUUGGGGGUGGAGGGGGGUCUCUUGGCCCCGUUUUAAAGAUGACUUAGCUCAGAUCCCAAAUGGGAGGCAGAAGGAAAUCACAACCCGCUGGGUGAACAAAACAGGAACGCAAAUGCGAUGAACAGAAGUAAGUCCAUCCGCAGAGAGGAAGCAGGACGCACUUUCUUCUCACGGAUUUUAAACUGAACCCCCGACACAGCGCAAGUAGGGGUUGGGGUUGGCCAGCCGCACCUCAAGGCACACCCUGACUCUUCCAGGAACCAGAGUCGGGCUUCACCUAGCACUCCUGAGCCCACUCGAGGGCGACUGGGGUGUGGGUUUGCGGCUAUACGACCUGCCUCGGUCCAGGUCUCCACGGUCCCUGAAAAACCCCGCGGGGAGGGUUUCACGGGGCGGGUUUCCACGCAGCAGGUGGCUUAGCGAGACGGUGGGAGCGGACUCAGGAUAGUGAAUGGUGGUGUCAGGGAGCCUCUGCGGUUCACGGCCAACGUGAGGGUGCUGGGAAGGAGGCCUGUGGGGGCGGCGAUGGCCCCCAGCAGGAAG